rnacentral:rRNA from 1 species
CCAACAGGGAUUGCCUCAGUAACGGCGAGUGAAGCGGCAACAGCUCAAAUUUGAAAUCUGGCCUAGCCCGAGUUGUAAUUUGCAGAGGAUGCUUCUGGUGCGGCGCUGUCCAAGUCCCCUGGAACGGGGCGCCACAGAGGGUGAGAGCCCCGUCUGGUCAGCCGCCAAGCCUGUGUGAAGCUCCUUCGACGAGUCGAGUAGUUUGGGAAUGCUGCUCUAAACGGGAGGUAGACCCCUUCUAAAGCUAAAUAUUGGCCAGAGACCGAUAGCGCACAAGUAGAGUGAUCGAAAGAUGAAAAGCACUUUGAAAAGAGGGUUAAACAGUACGUGAAAUUGUUAAAAGGGAAGCGCUUGUGACCAGACGUGCGCCGGGCGUUCAGCGGGCGUUCUCGCCCGUGUACUCGUCCCGGCGCAGGCCAGCGUCGGUUCGGAUGGGGGGACAAAGGCGUCGGAAAUGUAGCUCCUCCGGGAGUGUUAUAGUCCGGUGUGCCAUGCCCCCGUCUGGACCGAGGUUCGCGCUCUGCAAGGACGCUGGCAUAAUGGUCCCCAGCGGCCCGUCUUGAAACACGGACCAAGGAGUCGAGGUUUUGUGCGAGUGUUUGGGUGUCAAACCCGCACGCGUAAUGAAAGUGAACGUAGGUGGGAGCUUCGGCGCACCACCGACCGAUCCUGAUGUUCUCGGAUGGAUUUGAGUAGGAGCACAGGGCCUCGGACCCGAAAGAUGGUGAACUAUACUUGGAUAGGGUGAAGCCAGAGGAAACUCUGGUGGAGGCUCGCAGCGGUUCUGACGUGCAAAUCGAUCGUCAAAUCUGAGUAUGGGGGGCGAAAGACUAAUCGAACCAU